UACGGGGGGUGCAAGCGUUGUCCGGAUUUAUUGGGCGUAAAGAGCGUGUAGGCGGCCAGGUAGGUCUGCUGUGAAAACUCGAGGCUUAACCUCGAGAUGUCGGCGGAAACCAUCUGGCUAGAGUCCGGAAGAGGAGAAUGGAAUUCCCGGUGUAGCGGUGAAAUGCGCAGAUAUCGGGAAGAACACCCGUGGCGAAGGCGGUUCUCUGGGACGGUACUGACGCUGAGACGCGAAAGCGUGGGGAGCGAACAGG
rnacentral:rRNA from 1 species